AUGGAACCCAUUGUGUCUGGCCGCCCCACCUCGCUCAACGUCCGUUACCCCAUGGUUUCGGACCAGAACUCGCUAGUGUGUUUGGUCAACAUCUCCCCUCCUAGAGCUGCCUAUCUGCCAUGGCUCAGGCGUGUCUUUCGUCAGCUGCUUGGCAUCAUGGUUGUGUGUUUCGCCGGCUCUGCUGUGGGCACCGUCUUCGUGGUGUUCCAACGUGAGUCGGAGCAGGCCCACGCCUUGCGUGCUAGCCCGCUUGAAGUUAGGGACCGCUUCGUCAAUAUCCUGCCCCACAAUGCGGGAGACAACGCCUUCUCCUUCUCCUACCGCCAUGUGGUGAACCUCUCGUUGGGGAAGAUGCCCCUCGAGCUCUGGAACAGGAGGGGCAUGGCGGCCAGCUUCGCCAGCCUCUUCAGGCAUAUCCCGCACCACCUGACCUUCCACCGCAUCGACGGUGCUGGCGUCUACGCCGAUGUCGUCAUCAAUGAAGUAUGGGACAUCGCUCACUCGCUUGGGGCUCCCACUGCUCUGCCGCGCCCGGCUGGCCGUCUCGAUGGCGAUGCCGGCGGUCACCAUCCUCCUGCUCCUCCGCGCCAAGGCCAUGCUCGCCCUAGGGCAUCCGCCGCUGGCCCGGGCCAGCCUACAGACGGCCUAAGCAUGGAGGACAGGGCCUUCCUGCAGCCUCACCUAGCCUCUGUUGGUGAUUGUAUGGCGAUGCUGAUGUUUUCUGUCAAGCCCAAGCUCACCAAGGGUGCUGUCUUCUCCCUCCCCAUGGCGGUGCAGAUCGAGCAUGAGGACGACGCCCGUCAUCGCCUGCUCUUUAAAUCUGUGGCGAUGGACGACGGCUACUUCCCCUGCUUCGACUACCUCAAGGGGGAAAUCGCGCGGGAAAGCUGUCGUUCGCUCCUCUUCAAAUUCUGGCCCAAGGUGGUGGAUGGUGGGCUUUGCUCUCACAUGCUGCCUUUGCUGCCUGCUAUCGAGUCCAAGUACGCCCCCAAGCCCAAUGUGCCAGCGGGCCUGCUGCCAACAGCUGGGCCUCCGCUCUCUUUGGUUGGUGGUGACGUCUCUUCAGUCGAAGCCCUCUUUCCAGGCCAUAACCACAUGCGGGCCCAUCAGAUCCUCACCUCGCUGCCGGUGUGUACGCGGCCGCCCGCCCAUGUGCCGCGCCCGGACCCUCGCGUGCUGCCCAUCGGAUACUUAUCCCUGGUGGCGGCUACAGAUCUCAGGCAUGGGACGUGUGCCGCGCUUCCCUCCCAUGUCGCGGUGGUUUUCUGCAGCUGCCGUGAACCACCGCGCGAGCCUGCGGCCGGCGACGUCCGCUGCUCUCCGCCCACGCUCCAGCUUUUCCCCUCACCGGCUUCUACUGCUGGCUUUUCGCUCGGGUCGUCCUUGGUUGCGGCGGAGCAGGCCAUCGACCUCAACCUAGGGCCUGCUGCUGAGCCAACUGUGCAUGAGGUGCUGCCCUUUGGCUCAGUCACACAGCCUAUGGCCAACAAUUCCUUUGUGCUCACCUCUGUGUAUGCUCCCUACCUGAAUAGUGAGAGGCCUGUUUUCUUUGAGGCUAUGAACAAUAUUGCUCUGCAUGCUGAUGUUCCUUGGAUUGUUGUGGGUGACUUCAACAUGUACCAGUUUGCCUUUGAAAAAUCGCAUGGCCGCAGCUUGCUGCACCCACUUUGCUCGGAUGUUUUGUUUCCAGUGCUGCAGUAUGCGGACGACACUCUACUUAUCAAGAGCAUCCUUGCUUCUUUUUCAGUUUUCUCUGGCCUGCAAAUAAAUUUCCACAAAAGCACGUUGGUCCCGAUUUCGGUUGAUGAUGGAACUGCGUCGGAGAUUGCUCGACUGCUCGGCUGUCCCGUCUCCUCCUUCCCAUGCACAUACCUUGGCCUGCCACUGUCUGUGAAUAAGAUUACGCAUGCAACGCAAGAGUUGCAACUUUUGCAUGGCAUCCUCGCGAAUCUCACCUUGAAUGCUGCCCACAAGGAUCAACGGGUUUCUUCUCUCUAUGGAAAGGGUAUCACCACAGGCUACUUCUACAGACUGCUUACUUUCCGGGGUAUGAGGUGUGUUGCGCCAGCUGCAGAAGGCAUAUUCGCAAACUUCUCCCUCCUGCUGACAGAGGACCCGGUGGAGGAAACUGAUGUGAUCGACCUCGGCACUGUGUACGAGGAAGACAGGACCAAGUUCCCUUUGAUAACUGGCAGCGAGGACGAGAACGAUGAAGACAUAGACUGGGAUGACCGCCUGCAUUUCCCUGCCCGGGAGAAGGAGAUCGACAUCUCGAAGAACCUCCGGGACAUCAUCCACCUGGAGAUCAUGCUGGAUGCCUUCUGCAGCAGCACUUGCAAGGGCUUGUGUCUCGUCUGCGGCGCGAACCUCAACACGAGCAGCUGCAGCUGCAGCUGCAGCACAGAGGAGCCACAGGCCAAGGAAACCAGGCGGCCGGGAACUCUCAAAGACCUGCUGAAGCCUAUGCAGAGAAGAUGA
rnacentral:rRNA from 1 species